rnacentral:rRNA from 1 species
AGUGAACGCUGGCGGUAGGCCUAACACAUGCAAGUCGAACGGCAGCACAGUAAGAUCUUGCCCUUACGGGUGGCGAGUGGCGGACGGGUGAGGAAUACAUCGGAAUCUACUUUUUCGUGGGGGAUAACGUAGGGAAACUUACGCUAAUACCGCAUACGACCUACGGGUGAAAGCAGGGGAUCUUCGGACCUUGCGCGAUUGAAUGAGCCGAUGUCGGAUUAGCUAGUUGGCGGGGUAAAGGCCCACCAAGGCGACGAUCCGUAGCUGGUCUGAGAGGAUGAUCAGCCACACUGGAACUGAGACACGGUCCAGACUCCUACGGGAGGCAGCAGUGGGGAAUAUUGGACAAUGGGCGCAAGCCUGAUCCAGCCAUACCGCGUGGGUGAAGAAGGCCUUCGGGUUGUAAAUCCCUUUUGUUGGGAAAGAAAAGCAGCAGGUUAAUACCCCGCUGUUCUGACGGUACCCAAAGAAUAAGCACCGGCUAACUUCGUG